GAGGAUCUCCAGGAGUCACGUACCCAUUCGCUAAGGAACGCUCUCAAUUUGGUUUAAAGGGACGACUCGAGGGAAAAGCUAAGAGUUAUCGGCUAUAUGGAUCUCGACCAAUCAGAAUGAUUGGUUCACGAAUUAGACUAUUGUCAAUUUACUGCUUUAAAGCAGUCUGUCUUGGGACACCGAUCGGGGUGCCUCGAGCUGCCUCGCGCUCCCGGGCUGUUUGUUGACAGUUUUUCUAGCUGUGUUUUCUGUACGGUAUUAAAAGUUUUCUCGUUGCUCUCGCUAUAUACAGAAAAUCCUACCCAUUUUUCGCGUGUGUUUCGGAGGUGCAGUGCUGUGCUAUAGCAGCCCACCUGAGUAUCCUCUGAAUGCAAUUCUCGGUCUUCACGGAUCAGCUGAACCAGCUUCGCCUCAAAAGUUUCGAAUCGACAAACUUCUGGCGGCUGUUUGCACUCGGUCCUGAGGCCAUUCAGCAUCCCGAAGAGAUCUGGACCUGCCGCCGAAAUUCGUCAUCUCGUACUUUACUGGUGAUAAAAAUCGCGUAGAUGGAAUUUUGAUGCAAGAUCAGCUGGAUCCAGCAUCUUCGCUUAAAUCCUUAUUCACCGAUACACUCGCACUUGGAUCGUACCUCUUGGCGAAGUCCCGGAAGUCUAGGACGCCGCCCACGUGGUCUUAUCGGUAUCGUUGAGAAAUGAGAGGGCGGAUUGAUAAGGAAGCCAAUGGAUACAGAGGGAGCAGAGAUAAGGAUGGAAGAGUAAGAUUCGAAUGAACAGGAAGGAGACUCUUGAAAAAUGGCGAAACUGUGCGAAAAGGAAGUCUGCUUCGGAGGCCAACAUAAUUGGCUGGUUCUUGGAUGACAAACAACCUGCUACUAGGACUGCUUUGCCUUCUAUUUGUCACCGAGGAGAAGGUAGUUCAAC